CGCAAAGUAGUCCAGGCACUCAAGGUCUUCAUACAUCAGAUUUAUUUGAAAAACAGGACAGAUACAGCAACGUUUCGAUCCCUUCGGGGAUCUUUAUCAAGCUUGAGCUUGACCUUGAGUGCCUGGACUACUUUGCUGUUACUAUAUGGAUUAGGGGUUUGCUAGCCUUAGGUACAGUGCACCGCGGUCUACAGGUGAUGAGAGUGCAUGUCCCUUCUUUUUUUUUGCCAUAAGUUAAAUAACCGGAGUGAUUAAUGUUAAAAGUGAAAUGUAAGCAACAAAAUGUCACAACCUUGUUUUUAUCUUCUUGGGAUUUCCUAUUUAUUUUGUCAUCUUUAG